rnacentral:lncRNA from 1 species
AGAGAGAAAGCUCAAAAGAGAGGGAAACUUUCUAACUGAUUUAUUAUUUCAGUUGCUACCUUAUUACAAGAGAUAUUUCACUAUAAAUACAUGUUGACCUAUCUAUCUCAACUCAUAUAAUCCAAUGACACAUGUCAUAAUCUUGACCACUAAUAUACUCUAACAUUCCCCCUCAAUCUUAUAUCUUCGGCGAACCAAGCAUAAGAUUGGAACAAUGAGUGGUAAACAAUGGAGAACAUAAACCCUUUGUGAAAAUAUCGGCAUAUUGAGCUGUGGAAGCAACAAAUUGCAGAGAGAUAACACCUUGUUGAACCCUCUCUCUCACAAAAUGACAAUCCACCUCUAUGUGUUUGGCUUUAGAAUGCAAUACCGGAUUUGUAGCCAAAGCCAUAGCAGAGACGUUGUCACAAUGUAAACUGGGAGGAGAGGAAAUGUCAAGAUGAAGGUCCUGCAAAAGUUGUUGAAGCCAAACAACUUCGGCAGUGGUAGUGGCCAUAGCCCUGUAUUCAGCCUCUGUCGAUGAUCGGCUAACUGUGUGUUGUUUCUUAGAACUCCAAGAAAUGGGAUUGGAGCCUAAAAACACAACAAAACCUGUAGUAGACCGCCGAUCAUUGGGAUCACUAGCCUAAUCAGCAUCUGUGUAAGCUCGUAAACACAGAGAACCAGGUUGAAAGAAGAUUCCCCAGUCCAAAGUACCGCGGAGAUAGCGAAGAAUCCGCUUGACAGCAACAUAAUGAGAUUCCAGAGGAGAAUGCAUAAAUUGGCACACUUGAUUCACAUAAUAGGCAAUAUCAGGCCGUGUAAAGGUUAAGUAUUGAAGAGCUCCGACAAUGCUCCUGUAAUGUGUUGGAUCGGAAUAACAAGGACUACCAUGAGUCAGAAGUUUCUGAUUAGGAUGACAGGGUGUGAUACAUGGUUUACACUCGAGCAUAUUCGUCCUUUGCAAGAGAUCAUGGACAUAUUUAGACUGAUGCACAAAUAAUCCCGGAGAUUGAUAGGCGAUUUGCAAGCCAAGAAAAUAGUGGAGAAUCCCUAAGUCCUUCAUGUCAAACUCAGUGGUUAACUUAGAGAUAACAGACUGAACACAAGCAUCACUAUCACCAGUAAGAAUAAUGUCAUCCACAUAUAACAGUAACACAACCAUGUUGGUACCAUUAUGUUGAACAAACAUUGAAGGAUCGGCAUAAGAAGACUUAAAACCCAAUGAAAGUAAGAAGGUGGUGAACCUGUCAUUCCAAGCUCGGGGAGCUUGUUUGAGACCAUAAGUGACCGUUGUAAUUUGCAAACAUAGUCGGGAUGAGCCUUGUUAACGAAACCCUGUGGCUGAGACAUAUACACCUCUUCCUCAAGAAAUCCAUGUAAAAAUGCAUUCUUGACAUCAAGUUGUUUCAGUUUCCAACCUUGAGUGGCUGCAAGAGAUAGAAUGAGUCUCACAGUAGUUGGCUUCACCACUGGACUGAAUGUUCCAUAAUAAUCCAAACCAGCUUCUUGAGAAAAACCUUUGGCCACCAAACGAGCCUUAUAUCUGGCAACUGACCCAUCGGGAUGUCGUUUGAAUUUGUAUAUCCAUUUACAACCCACGAAAUUUUUAUUGGGUGGUAAUGGAACAAGGUGCCAGGUAUGUUGCUGUAGUAAUGCAUCCAUUUCUUCUUGCAUAGCAAGCUGCCACUGUGGAGACUUAGAAGCUGCAGAAUAAGUCGUUGGUUCUUUAACAGAAUCAAGAUGAAAGGAAGUAUGAUAAACCUUUUUCUUCUUAGAUAUCCCAGAUUUAGACCGUGUCUGCAUAGAAUGGAAAUUCUGAGAAUGCAAUGGAACUAGUUGUAACUCAGGAGCUUGAGAAGUAGUAGUAUCUGGAUGUAAGUUCGAACCCAUAUGAGUUGGAGAAGUAGUAGCAUUUGGAGGUAAUGAGGAACCCAUGGCAGAAUCAGAGAUUAACCCCAUUGAUGAAUCUGAGACUGAAUUAGAGAUAGCCGGCGAUGUGGAGACAAGAUCACCUUGAUGGAGAAUAUGGGACUGAGUAACUGGACUAGUAGUAUGGGAAAAUGCAAGAACAAUGGCACGAGGUAAGAGAUUAUGAUUUAAGGAAUGAUGCUCAAAUGAGUUUGAAUGAGGGACAGAGAGUGGGACAACUGAUGACAAAGAUGCAGUAGACUGUAGAUGGUGAAGGGUAGUGAACCAGGAAACUGACUUUCAUCAAACAAGACAUGUCGAGACACAAUUAACUUGUUAUCUUUGACAGAGUAACAAAUAUAACCUUUAUACUGAGAUGCAUACCCCAAAAAAAAUACAAACAGUGGUUUUUGGAUCAAGUUUGGUUGUUCUGUAGGGUUUCAAAGAGGGAAAACAAGUACAACAAAAAAUGCGUAAGUGAGCAAGUUGAGGAGGUGAUUUAUGCAAGACCUCAAAGGGAGAUUUCAUGAGUAAAGUGGAGGUUGGCAUCCUAUUGAUAAGAUAGGUUGCAGUAGCACAUGCAUGGUACCAAAAAAUAGAAGGUAAUGAAGCUUGCUGCAAGAGAGUAAUGGCAGUCUCAACAACAUGCCUGUUUUUCCUCUCGGCUAACCCAUUCUGCUCAGGGGUAUAAGGACAAGACUUUUGAUGAGUUAUACCAUUGUCCCGAAGAAAAUACUGAAAAGAAGCACCAAUAUAUUCCCCACCCCCAUCACUUUGAAGAGUUUUAAUAUGAGCAUCAAAAGAAUUCAAUACAAGGGAAUGAAAUUGCACAAAAUGACCAAAGACAACAGCUUUAUUGAUGAUUGGAAAAAUCCAUGUAUACCUAGUACAUUCGUCUAUGAAAGAGACAUAAUAUCUAUACCCCUCAAUAGACAUACCAGGUGCAGGCCCCCAUACAUCAGAAUGUAUAACUGCAAAAGGAAGUACAGAUUUUGAAGCAGGAGAAGGAAAAGGAAGUUUAGUAAACUUUCCUUCCAAACAGGGAGUACAAGGCUGAGAUGGUGCAGUACAAUGGAAAGGAAUGGCAGACUUACUAAGAACUAGCUUAACUAUGUGAUUAGUAGGAUGACCCAUGCGACGGUGCCACAAUGAAGAAGACACCUUUUGACCAAGAAAUGCUGCUGGUAAGACCUUUGAUUUUGGAAGCACAGGAAGAGGAUAAACGGCAUGAUUACUCAGUCCUUGGAACAAUAUUCUCUCAGUGAUCUUGUCCUGUAUACAGAGAGAAAACUCAUCAAUGAUACAUUGACAAUUAUUAUCUUUGCAUAAUUGAUGCAUAGACAAUAAGUGUUGGGACAAACGAGGAACAUGCAAUACAGAUUGAAGUUUAAAAGUAUGAGACUUGGUUGGAGGGUUAGAUUUGCCAAUAUGAGCAAUAACCAAACCUUCACCACUAGCACCAGUGACAGUAUCCGUAUGAGGAUAAGGAAAGGCCAUCUGAAGAUUAGAAAUAUCAGAGGUCAUGUGAUGAGUAGCGCCGGAGUCAAGAAGCCAGAACUCUUGUUGGGGUGCAGAUGGAGUGGGAGUAGCUUGAGCCGUCAUAGCCACAGGAGAAUGAGAAGAACCACUCAUGCCAGAGGACUGACCAUUGAAAUGCAUGCCAGAUGACUGACUAUUGAAAUUCAUAGACUGGUGUGAGGCUGGAGACUGUUGAGACUGGAACUGUGGAAAAUGUGGUUGAUAAUACUGCUGUGAUGACUGAUAUCCCAGAGCUGAAGAAUUAUUUCUGUCAAAACAAGUUGCAGCCGUAUGCCCCACUCUAUGGCAAAUCUAACAACCAUGUUGAAAACAAUUGAUAGCAGAGUGACCCUUUUUAUCACAAAUUUGACACUUCUGCAUUGGUUGAUAACUCUGUGGAAAGAUCAUUUGUUGUUGUGGUCCGGAUGCUGAAUGCGAUUGAGACUGAGGUGAAUACUGAUUUCCACCAAAUGAGAACUGUUGUGGAAACUGUCCUUGAUUUCCUUGAUUACCCUGAAAAAACUUCUUGCCUUUCCCUUUGUGUUUGAAAUUAUUUCCUCUGAAAUUAUUGUAUGUACCUGAACCACUUUGAGAGACAAAGGCCAAGGGUCCAGGAAAAGGAAGUUGUUGACACUGAGGAUAGGGUAAUUGUUGCUGUGAAAAGGGUUGUGAGAAAGGAAUAGGUAAGAACUGAGGAGGUUGUUGAAGAGGCACAUAGGAAUAUGGUGAUUGAGGGCUAGAAGCAAGGCCAAAAUAGCUGCCAGAUGACCUUCCUUAGUACCAGAUACACCUCCAGUGUCAUAUGCAGAUGGAGAAUUAUGAGCCAACAUAGCGGACAUGAGAGGAACUUGCUUAAUGACUUCAUUCAGCGUAUCUUCUUCAGCUUUCAAUUGAGACCGCAGUUCUUUAAGAGAUACCAAUGUUUCUCGGCCACGAAUGACAGACUUAAUAGUGUUAUACUCAGGAGGUAAACCCCGUAAUGCAACAAUAGCAAUGUCCUCAUCAGAAAUUAGAACCCCAACAGCAGUUAAAUGAUCCCUAGCAUCUUUAAUCCUCUGAAGAUAAGCAUCAAUGGAUUCAGGACCUUUCCUAAUAUUCUGAAGAUCAAUCUUCAUUUGAACAAUACUCGUCCGAGUCAUAUUUGCAAAUCUUUCUCGAAGACUAGUCCACAUUUCCUUAAAACUCUUACACCCAAUAACACAUGAUAAAGCAGCAGUCGACAGGGUAGCAGUAAUAAGCGUCAUUAAUGCCUUAUCAUGUAUCUUCCAAACAGUAUAAGCAUCAGAAUUCAACUCAGUGUUAUCAGGACAUAAAACAGAUCCAUCAAGAAAACCAAAAAUGCCAUUUCCAUCAAGCAAUAACUCCAUUUGGAAAUUCCAAGUCACAUAGUUAGAAUCAUCAAGUUUGACAGUGACAGUAUUACCCACAGUGGGAAUGAGAGAUGAAAUUGGGGAUUAAGUAAGAGCCAAUUGAGCAGAUGUAACCAUUGUUUAGCCAGAAACACCACAAAGCAAGCAACGCAAAUAUACAGAAUGCACACCCAGAAGCAAUCCACAAAUGACGCUACAAUCGGACAGAAAUGAACAACUUCGCAGAAACCAAAAUUUCCACAAUCUAGGGUUUCAAACAAUACUUGAUCAAGACAUCAAGAUCGCAAUAACAAUGUAGUAGAUAUGAGAAGAAACAAGAUCACCUUCCUUAAGCACAAAGAUGAAAGAAUGCAGCCGAAACACUAGCAAUGAAUCGAAGAACUCCAAAAGAUAGAGUUCGCGAUGAAUACCGACAAUCAAUCGCACCAGCAACCUUCAACAACCGACACAAAUGACGAGCAGGAACGCAAAUCAACGACGAACGACGAACGACGAGAACAACAAAACAAUGCGGAAGCAGAGGAUCGUCAAUCAAUGGUGUUACCCUUGAUCGGCGAUGAUACCAUGUUAACAAUAGCUAUGGAAGCUGAAAGAUCAGGAACGACCAGAGAUAGAAAGAGAGAAAGCUCAAAAGAGAGGGAAACUUUCUAACUGAUUUAUUAUUUCAGUUGCUACCUUAUUACAAGAGAUAUUUCACUAUAAAUACAUGUUGACCUAUCUAUCUCAACUCAUAUAAUCCAAUGACACAUGUCAUAAUCUUGACCACUAAUAUACUCUAACAUGGCAAACGUCGUUGCAUGCUGAGAUCCAACAACUUGUUCCUGGCUUCAGGCAGUCCUCUUCGAGAAAUCUACCACUGGAAUUUUCGCCAUUGUUUGCUAUUAAUUAGCUAGGCAGCUGUGAGAUACAAAUUCU